rnacentral:rRNA from 1 species
CAUCACUCCCCAACCCCUGUGACAUACCACUUGUUGCCUCGGCGGAUCAGCCCGCUCCCGGUAAAACGGGACGGCCCGCCAGAGGACCCCUAAACUCUGUUUCUAUAUGUAACUUCUGAGUAAAACCAUAAAUAAAUCAAAACUUUCAACAACGGAUCUCUUGGUUCUGGCAUCGAUGAAGAACGCAGCAAAAUGCGAUAAGUAAUGUGAAUUGCAGAAUUCAGUGAAUCAUCGAAUCUUUGAACGCACAUUGCGCCCGCCAGUAUUCUGGCGGGCAUGCCUGUUCGAGCGUCAUUUCAACCCUCAAGCACAGCUUGGUGUUGGGACUCGCGUUAAUUCGCGUUCCCCAAAUUGAUUGGCGGUCACGUCGAGCUUCCAUAGCGUAGUAGUAAAACCCUCGUUACUGGUAAUCGUCGCGGCCACGCCGUUAAACCCCAACUUCUGAAUGUUGACCUCGGAUCAGGUAGGAAUACCCGCUGAACUUAAGCAUAUCAAUAAGCGAGGGAAAAGAAAAUUCC